GUCACCACAAAUGUGGCUUUUGAAAAACUUCCAGUGGAUAAAGAAAAGAUUCUGUCUUGCAGGGUCAACAGUGUGCACCUUUAUCUCUGUGGCUGCUAGACCCGCGUCUGCCUCUGAAGAGCUUUAACAUGAACAGGAAGUGAAGGCAACAUGUGACAGCCACUGGCCAGCAGGCAGCUGUCAGGGAGCAGCGGCGAACACUCCAGAAUUAGAUCAGACAGAGCCGACACGCUCAUACUUACAUAGGGGGAAGCACAAACACAGAAGAGAGGAAGCAGAAGGCCAGUUAGAGCCAUUUCCUCUACUGCUGAGUGGGCUAAUUGGUGUUCUUGACUUGUGUAAGCUGUGGCCUUUAAUGGAAAUGGCUUGUUCUGGCAAAUCCUGUGACUGUCCAAGUUGGAAUAUGGAGGGUUUGGAGGACAGGUAUUUGUGAUUCCACGGCUGAUGGUUCCAGAAUCUUUGAUCUGUGCUUGAUCACACCAGUCUUUCUUGUUGCAUUGCUGUUUCACAUCUUUCUUUUUUGUAGAUUUUUUUAAUAAUAGCACACUAUGUAACUUUAUGUUGUUGCUGUGUUUCAAGCAGUGUGGGAGCAAUCUACGGUUAGUUUUUACAGGCAAACAAUGGAAAAAAAUAUAAUUAAAGAAAUUAUAGAGACUAUGUUGCGGUUUCAAAACACUAGCUUGGCAAACAUACACCAAAAGCGUUAACAUGUGAAACCUGGAACACUUUCUUGAGUUUCCUUUAAAAAGCAUGGAUCACUGUGUCCUGAAAUAAAAAGGGACCUUAAAA